rnacentral:rRNA from 1 species
GACGAACGCUGGCGGCGUGCCUAAUACAUGCAAGUCGAGCGGACCAAAGGGAGCUUGCCCCUGGAGGUCAGCGGCGAACGGGUGAGUAACACGUGGGCAACCUGCCUGUAAGACUGGGAUAACAUCGAGAAAUCGGUGCUAAUACCGGAUAAUAAAAGAACUGCAUGGUUCUUUUUGAAGAUGGUUUCGGCUAUCACUUACAGAUGGGCCCGCGGCGCAUUAGCUAGUUGGUGAGGUAACGGCUCACCAAGGCAACGAUGCGUAGCCGACCUGAGAGGGUGAUCGGCCACACUGGGACUGAGACACGGCCCAGACUCCUACGGGAGGCAGCAGUAGGGAAUCUUCCGUAAUGGACGAAAGUCUGACGGAGCAACGCCGCGUGAGUGAUGAAGG